CCAUCAACUUGAAAUCAAACAAAAACCCCCUUUUUAAACACUAAAAAGAAUAUUUUCUUUCUUUCUUUGACAUUGCGCCGUAAUGCUCUCCUUCUGCCCUCCUCUGCUCCUAUGGCCAUGAAACAAAGGAGUUUCAACGACGUCACACCGGUACGUGGAAAAAGCAAGGUGUGCUGAUCGUGGGUGGUUGCUGCGAUGUGAGCAGUUGCUGCGGCAUUCGCGGAGGCUUUUUGCUGCUGCAGUACUGAGGCAAAAGGGCUAGGCUCCUUGAUUCUGUUAUGGGUUUAUUGGGCUAAUGUAAUUGGGUUACAAUUUAGGCUUGUAACAUUUGUAAUUGGGCCACGUAAAUUAAGAUUUUAAAUGGACUGGGACCUUUGUUUAUUUAA